ensembl:rRNA 5S_rRNA 5S ribosomal RNA
AUCUACCACCAUACCCCCCUGAACAUGCCUGAUCUCAUCCAUUCUCGGAAGCUAAGCAGGGUCCAGCCUGGUUGGUACUGGAUGAGAGAUC